GCUUACGGCCAUAUCAGCCUGGGUACGCCCGAUCUCAUCUGAUCUCGGAAGCUAAGCAGGGUCGGGCCUGGUUAGUACUUGGAUGGGAGACCGCCUGGGAAUACCAGGUGCUGUAAGCA
rnacentral:rRNA from 1 species